rnacentral:rRNA from 1 species
GAUGAACGCUGGCGGCGUGCCUAAUACAUGCAAGUCGAGCGAACAGACGAGGAGCUUGCUCCUCUGACGUUAGCGGCGGACGGGUGAGUAACACGUGGAUAACCUACCUAUAAGACUGAGAUAACUUCGGGAAACCGGAGCUAAUACCGGAUAAUAUAUUGAACCGCAUGGUUCAAUAGUGAAAGACGGUUUUGCUGUCACUUAUAGAUGGAUCCGCGCCGCAUUAGCUAGUUGGUAAGGUAACGGCUUACCAAGGCAACGAUGCGUAGCCGACCUGAGAGGGUGAUCGGCCACACUGGAACUGGGACACGGUCCAGACUCCUACGGGAGGCAGCAGUAGGGAAUCUUCCGCAAUGGGCGAAAGCUUGACGGAGCAACGCCGCGUGAGUGAUGAAGGUCUUCGGAUCGUAAAACUCUGUUAUUAGGGAAGAACAAAUGUGUAAGUAACUAUGCACGUCUUGACGGUACCUAAUCAGAAAGCCACGGCUAACUACGUG